AGAGUUUGAUUUUGGCUCAGGAUGAACGCUGGCGGCGUGCCUAACACAUGCAAGUCGAACGGAGCCUUAACCAAAGAAGCAGCCAGCUUGCUGGAAGCGGAAAAGGGAAAGGCUUAGUGGCGGACGGGUGAGUAACGCGUGGGUAACCUGGCCCAUACAGGGGGAUAACACUUAGAAAUAGGUGCUAAUACCGCAUAACAACAGAAAGCGCAUGCUUUUUGUUUGAAAACCAAGGUGGUAUGGGAUGGACCCGCGUCUGAUUAGCUGGUUGGCGGGGUAAAGGCCCACCAAGGCGACGAUCAGUAGCCGGCCUGAGAGGGUGGACGGCCACAUUGGGACUGAGACACGGCCCAAACUCCUACGGGAGGCAGCAGAGGGGAAUAUUGCACAAUGGGGGAAACCCUGAUGCAGCGACGCCGCGUGAGUGAAGAAGUAAUUCGUUAUGUAAAGCUCUAUCAGCAGGGAAGAAAAUGACGGUACCUGAGUAAGAAGCCCCGGCUAACUACGUGCCAGCAGCCGCGGUAAUACGUAGGGGGCAAGCGUUAUCCGGAUUUACUGGGUGUAAAGGGAGCGUAGACGGCAGUGCAAGUCUGGAGUGAAAGGCGGGGGCUCAACCCCCGGACUGCUCUGGAAACUGUACGGCUGGAGUGCAGGAGAGGUAAGUGGAAUUCCUAGUGUAGCGGUGAAAUGCGUAGAUAUUAGGAGGAACACCAGUGGCGAAGGCGGCUUACUGGACUGUAACUGACGUUGAGGCUCGAAAGCGUGGGGAGCAAACAGGAAGAGAUCCCCUGGUAGUCCAGACAGAAACGCAGCCCUUCAUGUGUCGGGGGUUAAAGAACCUUCGGUGCCGCAGCCAACGCAGUAAGGAAUCCACCUGGGGGGUACGUUCGCAAGAAUGAAAACUCAAAGGAAUUGACGGGGACCCCGCACAAGCGGUGGAGCAUGUGGUUUAAUUCGAAGCAACGCGAAGAACCUUACCAGGCCUUGACAUCCCCCUGAAUGGGUGGUAAUGCAUCCAGCCCUUCGGGGCAGGGGAGACAGGUGGUGCAUGGUUGUCGUCAGCUCGUGUCGUGAGAUGUUGGGUUAAGUCCCGCAACGAGCGCAACCCCUAUCCUUAGUAGCCAGCGAGCAAGACGGGCACUCUAGGGAGACUGCCGGGGAUAACCCAGAGGAAGGUGGGGAUGACGUCAAAUCAUCAUGCCCCUUAUGGCCUGGGCUACACACGUGCUACAAUGGCGUAAACAAAGGGAAGCGAAGGCGUGAGCGUAAGCAAAACCCAAAAAUAACGUCCCAGUUCGGAUUGUAGUCUGCAACCCGACUACAUGGAGCUGGAAUCGCUAAUAAUCGCGGAUCAGAAUGCCGCGGUGAAUACGUUCCCGGGUCUUGCACACACCGCCCGUCA
rnacentral:rRNA from 1 species